rnacentral:piRNA from 1 species
UCGAACUCCUGAUGGCAAGGUGAUCUGC